rnacentral:lncRNA from 1 species
CGUGGCUCCUCUCCAUACUGAAGGCAAAUUGAAUCAUAUCCAUGUAGGAGUGCAGAGUCCUCCUGGACACAGUCCUGCCAGGGGUCUCCUCAUCCUUAAGGGGCCCCACUCCAGGGAAGGCUCUCCUUGUCUUCCAUUUCUUGCUCAAUCCUGCUGGGGCCCAGUCCAUCAGAGCUCAUCCUUCCAAGUCAAGAGGGAAGGCUGCCUCACCCCACACAGCUCUCCCACGUUUGCCUAGAUUGGCUCCAGGUGGUCCAGGAAGAGUCGCAUCCUUAGCCGCAGGCAUUGGCUUCAGGGUCUCAGUUAUCACUUCUACCCUUGUGGCAUCAUUGCUGGUUUGGUUUGGAGGAUGGUUCUGGAGGGCCAGCUGAUGAGGAUGAACUUAUAGGGCCUACCACUGCCACUUUCUUUUCCUUUCGCAGUAGGGAAUGCAAUGAUGCUUCGAAUAAGGCCUCUCUGUGGAUGGACAGCACCUGCGUGUUGGGCAAGGUGGAAUGUUAAUAACCUUGACCCCAGAUGGAAAUCUGCAAGGGUCAGACUCUGCCACACCCUUGGAGGCCUAUGUCUGACUGAGCUCCUACUGAGCUUUGGGCCACUUAGGCCCCUCCAUUGCUUUUUCAUCUGAAGACACAGGAAGGGUCAAGCCUCCAUCUUCUGAGAAUCAAUGGCCAAGGGGCACGGAGCGGGGAGAGGCUGGUUUUUAUCAUGAAUCUAUGAUUUUAUUUUCCACUGAACAUCACAAGAAUGGACCCUCUGAACCACCGCUCUUGCUGCUGCUGCUGCUGAUGAGCUCUGUUCUCCGUCACUGAAGAUCCAUCUUGUCCAUGUGAUAAGAAAUACAGCCCACGAAGCCUUGCAAGUCUGACCUUGUGUGGCCUUUGUUGCCCAAGAGGCAACAUACUCUCUGGUGCAAAGUUCAAUGUCCUGGGGAAGGGUUCCAGCUGAGCUAGCUGGGCUUGGCUUCUCACCUGGACCAAUCGGCUAGUGCCAGGGGGCAGGACCAUGAAGAACAUGGCAUCUCCAUCCUGCCAUGUUGGUGAAGCAGGAAGAAUAAGGGGGAAGCUUCUCCCAGAAGAACAGCUACACUGGAUAAGUGAAAAAUAAAUGUCUGUUCUAAGCAGUCUCUACAUCUCGCCUCCACUUCCUCACGCGAACUUACCCUCAACCACUUGCAAUCUAAUUUUUGCUCCCGCCACUCUACUGAGGCAGCUUUCUAAGUAAUCAACAGUGAUUUCAUAAUUAAUAAACCUGAUUGUCCCCUAGGAACUCCCAGUAUAAGAGUUGUCAACAUGGGGCUGGUUCUAGUUACAGCGCCCACUGCAGCAGAGGCCUCUUGGGUUUGUCUGUCCAACCUGGGAACCAAUGACCACCCUCUUCCCUGGAAACUUCCAUUUCUCCCAUAAAUAGGGGUGGGACAUGAUGCUUGUGUUAAAACCAUGUCAACCCAUCCCCUUGGUCACAGUUGAUUAAACCCAGGAUAAAUCUGACUUUAGCUUAGCCAAUCAAAUUGCAGGAAUUUGGAACUGAGAAUGUCAAUUGUUUGAGUGACUACACCGGUAACUGGUCAAUAUGGAAACUGUGGAAAAGCCACCUUCCCCAUGCCACAUGAAUGAAGAAGCAGGAAAGCUGGUCUGCAGAGAAGUUUACCUGAGAGAAAGCAUUUGUUUGGGGUGUACCAGUGGAGCAGAAGCAGAAGGGUGCCCAUCCAGAGGGUGCAUUGCCCUCAUUAGGGGACGCUGAGGCCUCACAUGGCCCCACACAGAGAGCAGGUGACUUAGAAGAACGCAGCAAGCACCCUGUGAGAGAAAAAGUCAAUAUUGCAGCAGUAUCCUGCCACACAGGAGACACUCGUGCCAGAUGAUGGCAAUGCCCCCAAAUGAGGUCUUUUCUCCUCCCCUCCACCCUGCCGUCCCCCCGGGGGGGCAAAUGGGGCACAGGGAGUGACGAGGAAGAGGGAAGGACAAGGUGGGGAAACACUGAGACCUGGGCCUCCUUUCCAUCUGUCUACCAGAUGUAUAGGUCAGCCCUGAACAGAAUGGGGACAAUCUUCAAGGUGGAUGAGAUAUUAAGUUUGAGGUGAGGUUAGGUCAGGCCAGACUCUUUAAUAACAGAAAAUGAGACUAUUCAAACUCUCAAAACAUAUUAGGAUCCACCUCUAUACGGUCCAGGAGCGGGUGCAGCAGACUGUUGACGAAGAUGGGCGCCACUCCUCCCACCCCGUCCGUCUGCUCCCUGCUUUGCCGUGUGACUUGGUGGAGUGGUUUCCCACCUCUUGAACCUGAGUUGGCCUUGUGACUUGAUUUGAUGAAGGGAAUGUGGCAGAAGUGACAUUGUGCAUGUUCUGGAGCCAGGUCUGUACAGAUUCUGCUCCAGCCUCUCGGAAUACAGAGCUACCCUGUUAGGAAGCCCAGGGCAGCCUCCUGGAGGAGAGGAGGGGCCCGUUGAUAACCAGCACCAGCCGCCAGCCACGGGAAGGGGGCGAUCAGGGACUAUCCAGGCCCCAUCAAGCCCCAAAGCCACAAAGAUUCCUUUAAGUUCACAAAAGACCUCAGGCAAGACCAGCCAAAAACCAGUCCACAGGACCCGGCCCCAGCUGCUAACCCACAGAACUGUAGGCAAACAAGUGGUGGUUGUUUCCGCCACUUGAUUGUGGAGUGAUUUUUUGCACAAUAAUGGAAACUUGGUACAGUGGAGAAGAUGGAUCCGACAGAAUGGGUUUGAGUAUGAUGAUGGAAGAAACAAAGUUGCUCCUUGCUUGUCACCUACACAGUCCCACUCGUUCAGUUAACCAGCUACAUUUGCAAAGGCAGAUCCCCACAGUGACGCCACACAGGUAUCCACUGCUUUCCCAGGCAUUCUCAGGCGCCUCAGUACCUACCUGACUUCAAACGCUCACUUGCGUUUCUGUGUGUCUCCCUUGUCCCACUCAGCAAUGGUUCCCCAGCAGUCACCUCACAGAACUGUUGAAAGCUCAGAACGUUCUCUAAACCCUGAUGGGUGCUGACCAGCACCGGUCCCAGGAGAGGAGGAGAAGCCUGUGACCUGGACUGGAAAUAGAAGUGGGGGUGAGCGGGGAGCUAUCUCUGCUGUCUUUCCUUCCUGAAACAAAGCACAGCAAAGCCAGACGGGACACAGGAGUGUGCGGGCCGUGCUGCAGCUGUGAGAUGCAAAGGGGGAAGCUUCUCCCAGAAGAACAGCAGACUGUUCCACAUAGAGGAGGGUAACUCAAGAGCUCCUACUGCAGAAGCCCUGGCUUUCUGGUUCCCACCCAGGCAGGCCCUCCCAGGGGUGCCCUCCUGCCUCCAGGCCCAGCCAAGUGGGUGGGCUUUGAUCUAGGUUUGGAGGCGAGGGGAGGGGUUCGUCUUCCUAGACCCUCAGCUCACUUAGUCAUGGGUUUGAACACCCCACCCUCCCAGGCCUGCUGAACAGGAAGGGAAUGCAGGGCUGGCCGCUUCCUCUCGCCCCACAGCAGUUCCCAAAGUGCCUUCAGGCCCCUCCUGUGGUAGCAGCAGCCUAGGCCCAGGUCACAAGAAGAACGGGGCACCUGCUCGUAGGGCCUGCCCUGGCAGAACUGUGGAUUCCAUCCUCCCCUCCCUCCCACCAUCAGUCCCCAUGGGAACCGCUCCUUCUCUAGGCCGAUGUUCUCUUCUGCGCGGGAUGAGGGUUAAAAUUAGUCAGAGAGCAGAGAUUCUUAAGCCAGCUUCAGGAACCAUGAGGCCCACAGCCGCCAGAGGGGGGAGGGCCGGGGGGGGGGGCCAUGUACCCUCUGAAAUCACGUAUGUACUGUUGUUUCUGUGCACAUUUUUCUGGGGAGGACCUUAAACAUCUUAACAAUGUACCUGGUGGUCCACAGAAGGUUAGGAAGCAAUGGUCUAGACAAUUCCCACCCCCCUCCCCACUAAUAUUCUUGCUCUCCUCCUCUGUACCCUCUCCUGAGCUGUGGUACUCUCCUCCUGAGUCUGUGUGGCUGUCUUCUCGUCAAGUCACACUGUAUAGAGCGUCUGGAGGACCCCCGAUGAAGGCCAUAGGUUACAGUAAAGCUGCUAAAUGAGAGGAGAUGCAAGGUAAGUGAAUAUAUCAGUCGGUUAACUCGGAUAGUUGCAUCGAACAGCAAAUUUAGCUUUAAGCUUCCCUGCAGCCAAGGGAAAAAAUGGAUGGCCAAAUACUUAUGCUCUCUCCAGGAUCUGUGCUUUGGCUGUUAGUGUGACUUAGUGCAAAGAUGUGACUCUGAGAAGGUGGAUUCUAGGCAGGAAGGCUCCCUAGGAGGGGAGAGAUUUCGAGAUGGGUGGGCCUUCUAAAGGCUCUUCUUCCAACGACACAGCUUGGCAAGCACACAGUGAGCACUCACAGUGUCAGGUCCUGGGAGUCCACACACUAAACCCCACACCUGCCCUGGAGCUGCUCCCAUUGCCUGGGGAGACAAGGUUCUCACACCAUAAUGGCUUUGCCGGGGAAAUGAGGACAAUCACCCCUCUCAGAAGGGACCUCAGAGAAUUAACAAGAGUUUCGGUCAAAACAGGCAUGCAGUGAGUCUCAGGUACGUGGAGAUGCAAGCAUGUGAAGAUGGCAUCUGCGAAAGCGACACACAGUGGCACCAGAUCCCGGCAGCUGGGGCCUCGGGAAAGGCCAGCGAGGAGGGACCUCCAUCUGGGAAAUCAGGUGGGUGGGUGCUUCAUGACGGGGAAACAAGGAGGCAAAGUGGGGAGGUGGGAAAGACUGGGCACACUGGGGAGACAAGAACAAGCUCUGCCAGUGGUGAGGGAGGGUUUGUACCAGGAGGUUUGGGAAACAAGUUGAAAGGUUUGUUGGGCCAACUGCAAAAGGCUUUGAAUUAAAACCACAAACGUUUAUGAGUGCUGGCUGGGCCAUGGGUGCCAGGCUGGGUGCCAGGGAAGCUCCCAACCCACAGAGGGAGAUGGACGCAUCCACAGCAGACACAAGACAAUGUGCCAACCACUAUGGAAUUUGGAUAUUCCAACUGAGAGAUGCCUUUAAGUUAAAGGAAAUGAAUGGAAGUUUCUAAACUGGGGAAUAACUAGCUAAGAGAAAGACCAAACUAAUAGUUGAAGGAUAAAUUGGAAAGUGAGAGAAGCUGAAGGCCAAACCUAAUAGAAGAAGACAUCGAUAGUCUAGGUGGUCCACCAGCCUGGACCUGGGUGGAUGGUGCAUUGGGGAGCAAGUGCAGCGUGGAGCAUACAUCAGGAAAGCAUAAGCAUGCUAUGGAUGAGAGGCCCGUCGUUUUGGAGGAAAGGGUCCCGAGGACUCAGCCCACUCGGAGAGAGUUACAGGCCUUCUGGGAAGGAGCUGGGGGCACGAGGGUCUCCUGAAAGCUCUCCAGGGAAAACUUUGAGAGGAGAAAUCCCGAAAGGAGAAAGGGGCCUCUGAAACACGAAGUAACUGCCUUGCUGGGCUGGAGGGGAGCCCGGGUUCUGGCUUCUGUAGAGCCUGAAAUAGAAUCCAAUUUGUGAUGCCUCUAAUGAUGUUACAUAAUGACGUUACAUAAGCCCAUGACGUAAAUGCAUGUCCUGGUAUUGACCAGGAACGGCCUGCCCUGAGCUGCCCUCAUCCCAGCCCUGAAGCCCUGUCCUCUGUCAGCGGCCAGAAAAUCUAUUUCCUAAACGCCUCUGUCAAGCCCUGUCUGACGGCACUGCCUCUGUCUUGAGGACCCCUAGUACCCUCUUCCUCCUCGCCCCUGCUUCUCAAGUCCCAGGGUCAGAAGAAUCUUUCACUCCUGGAGACCACUCUGUCCUCUGACCUGCUCACCGGCCCCGCCCCGCUGCAGUCUCCCCAUCCCCUCUGUCUCAAGAUGCUGCCCAGAAGCCCCCCCCCCCUCAGCCCAUCUCUCUCAACGCCUCCCCCCAAGCUCCCCUUCGAACCUGCUUGCUGCUCAGAGGCAGCGUCAGCCCCGUGUGGCUGCUCCAUCCCCUGUCUGCACAAUAAGCCGGGCAGCAGGCCCGCCCACACACGCACAGCACACGGUUUACAGACACGCUAAACAACACACUCCUCUCUGACGGAGGAAAGCUCGGCUCUCAGCUGCUCCUACAGUCUCCUAAGUCAUCUGUGCUUUUUCUUUGUUUGCUGUCAUGUCAAAGCUAUUUUACUGUUACAGAAUCAAGAAAACAUAAAUCUAAAAAAUCGCUCGUCGAAUAAAGGAACAUGAAGCAAAAUUUUUGUUAUCUUUUAGCUUUUUGGAACCCCACGAUGCAUCUCCAGAGCUAAUCUCCCAGCCUAUCCCACGGAAGCGCAGGAGCUCUGGGGAGCGUAAGCCCUGGGGUCCAGGUCCACCGCCCUGCCUCUGAGCUGAAGGGGGCUGUCCCAGCUCCUUCCUUCAUCCAUCCAGCCGGCCCUUCCCCUCCAACCCCAGGAGCCUGCAUUUCAGUCUCUCCUCCUCCAGCUUUGGCACAGUAUCUCUGUGAAGGUCCCUGUUAUGGGUUAAAUUCUGUCUCCUAAAGAGACCUGUUGAUGUUCUAACCCCAGUACCUGGGAAAGUGACCUUAUUUGGAAAUUGGGUCUUCGCAGAUAUAAUCAAAUUAAGAUGAGGUCAUUAAGAUGGGCCCUAAUCCAAUAUGACUGGGUCUUUAUGAGAAGAGGGGAAGAGGGGCCGGCCAGUGGAGUAGUGGUUAAGUUCGUGUACUCCGCUUUGGUGGCCCGGGGUUCCACCGCUUGUCAAGUCACGCUGUGGCAGCAUCCCACAUAAACUAGAGGAAGAUUGGCACGGAUGUUAGUUCAGGGCCAAUCUUCCUCACAAAAAAAAAAAAAAAAGAAGAAGAAGAAGAAGAAGAGGGGAAGAGACACAGAGACAGACACACAGGGAGGGAAGGCCGUGUGAGGAUGGAGGCAGAGAUUGGAGUGACGCGUCUACAAGUCAAGGAACAGCUAGGACUGCCGGCAACACCAGAAGCUGGGAGAGAGGCCUGGAAGAGCUCCUCCCCAGAGCCUUCAGAGGGAGCGCGGCCCUGCCAACACCUUGGUGUUGGACUUCUGGCCUCCAGGACUGAGCAAGAACACAUUUCUCUUGUUUUAGGCCCCCAGUUUGUGGUGCUGUGUUAUGGCAGCCCUGGGCACCAACAGUGCGUGUGGUGAGGGAGUCCCGUAGCGCAGACCCAGCUGCUUCAGCCCUGCCCCGUGUGUGUGCAGGGGGAGGCGGGCAGGGCCGGCAACUUCCAGGCAGUUCCCAGGUUCCUUCCCAUCUGUUCCAUGAGCACAUCCUGCGAUUCUGCCACGUUCCCCCCACACACUUCCUUCCUCGUGUCCCCUCAGGGCCACCUGUCUCUCUGUCUCAGGGGACAUGAGACACUUGCCUGGACACCAGAGCCUCGUCCCCUGCCUCUGCUCAGGAUGUCACCAUGAAUGUUUACUGUGGAAACAGCUUCAGCCUGCGCAGCCUUCCUAACUACUUACAGUUACAGCUCACAGCUACCCUUCGAUACAGACUCCCAGAUCCCCGCCUUAGGGCCACUCCAUCCUUCACAAUCUGGAAAGGAAGCUUCUGGAAAGGGAGCAUUUUGCAACAGACACCCAAGCUCACUUUCAGCUGCUUUGUGCUUUUUCUCAGGCAUCUGCCGCCUGGAAUGUGGCUUGCUGUCUUGAGCGCUGAGGCUGGAGCCCCUUUUCCUCUUCCAGGAGACAGGCCUGCAUUAACUUGUGGCGAGUGUGACCACACUGCCUAGCUGGCCGAGGGCCUAAUCCAAGGAGGUGUGGUCUCAGUGAUUGACCUCACCUCCCCAGAGACGCCUCCGGGCCCUCCAGGUGUAAUUCAUUGCUUCCCCCUCUUUGUCCCAUGACCCUUCGCACACUUCUCUUACCUGUUGACCACUAGAUCCGCCCACUGAGCGCCUCGAAGCCCAGGAAUGUGAGGGUCCUCUCUGCAAGGAGACAGCAGAGUUUGGAGUCUCAAAGUACAGGUUCUGGGGACAUGCAAAUCGAACCCACUGUGAGACACCACCUCACACCCAUUAAGAUGACUGCUAUCAAAAAACCAGAAAACAACAACUAUUGGUGAGGAUGUAGAGAAACUGGAACCCUUGUGCGCUGCCGAUGGGAAUGCAAAAUGGUGCAGCUGCCUUGGAAACAGUGUGGCGGUUCCUCAGAAAAUUAAAAAUAGAGUUACCAUCUGAUCCAGCAAUCCCACUUGUGGAUACACACCCAGAAGAACUGAAAGCAGGGACACUAAGAGAUACUUGCACACCCAUGUUCACAGCAGCAGUAUUCACAAUAGCCAAAAGGUGCAAGCGACCAAAUGUCUAUCGACGGGUGAAUGGAUAAACAACGUUUGGUCUAUACAUAUAAUGGAAUAUCAUUCAGCCUUAAAAAGAGGAGGGAAAUCCUGUGACAUGCUACAACAUGGAUGAAUCUUGAGGACAUCACGCUAAGUGAAAUAAGCCAGUCACAAAAAGACAAAUACAAUAUGAUUCCACCUACAUAAGGUCCCUAGAGUAGUCAGAUUUGUAGAGAUGGAAAGUAGAAUGGUGGGUGCCAGGGGCUGAGGGCUGUGUGAACGGGGAGUUAUUGUGCAAUAGGUACAGGCUUUCCGUUUUGCAAGAUGUAUCAGUCAGGGUUCUCCAGAGAAAGAGAACCAUUAGGAGUGCAUCUACACAUAUGGGAAGGGCCAACGAUGCAGUCUGAAAGCCCUCUGCUGGCUAAAAUGCCUCUUACUGAGGAGAGGGCAGUCUUGGUUCUAUUCAGGCCUUCAACUGGUCGGAUGAGGCCCACCCACAUUAUGGAGGGCAAUCUGAUUUACUCAGAGUCUGCCAAUUUAAAAUGUUAAUCUCAUUCAAAAACACCCUCACAGGGGGCUGGCCCCAUGGCCGAGUGGUUAAGUUCACGCGCUCUGCUGCAGGCGGCCCAGUGUUUCGUUGGUUCGAGUCCUGGGCGUGGACAUGGCACCACUCGCUCAUCAAGCCACGCUGAGACAGCGUCCCACAUGCCACAACUAGGACCCACAAUGAAGAAUAUACAACUAUGUACCGGGGGCUUUGGGGAGAAAAAGAGGAAAAAAAAAUCUUUAAAAAAAAAAACAGAAACAUCCAGAAUGUUGGGCCUCAUCCAACAUUAUUAAAAAUAAUAAUUUUUUUAAAAGCCUCUAGAAUCAAACCACUGAGUUGCUUUCACCACAGACUACAGUGUGACUGUAUAUAAGUUACUCAGACUCUCUGAGCCUCUCACCUCGUCAGAAAAACUCAACCAAGGACAAUGAUGCCCAUCCACAGGGUGAUAGUGAGAAAAACGCAGCAACACUUGUAAACCCUUAAUUUGUAGAGUACUAAGUGGUGGAGACAUUUUAGUUCAUGACUGUUAUUAUCAUUUCCAGCAUCUAACAGUGCCAGACACACAGCAGAUACUCAAGGCAUGUCUGCUGAAUGAAGGAAUGACCUUGUUCAAGUGACUUCAUUGCUCUGUGUCUCAGUUUCCUUAUCUAUAAAAUGGGGAUAAAAAUGGUAGUUAUUGUGAAGAUUGGCUGUGUCUGUAUAUAUGUAAAGAACUUGGGUUGGGGCCUGGCACAUAGCAAAUACUAGGUAAAUAUUAGCUACCAUUAUUCUUAAUGGUAAUUACUACAACCCUUUCUCGUACUGCCUGCCCCGUCCCUCGGUAGCCUCUCUGGAGUGGCUGACACAGGGAGGUGUGACACAGGAGCCAGCCCGCUCUGUGAAGUGCUGUGGAAGAGGGCAGUCCCGAUUAUUCCGUACCUUGCCAGCAGAGGGACUGGAGGUGGGUGCCCUGGAGAGGAUAGUUUUCUCUGCACUGACACGGAGCUAUAUGACCCCUUCUCCUCUCAACGUGAUUGUUGUCAGUGCCUAAUCUGCUGUAGUACCACACCUGAUCGCACUCCUUAGGGCUUAAGUACACGUCGUCCUGCCUUUUUCCCAGCUCUCCCACCUCCUCUUGGUCUAUUCCAGUCCUAGCUCCCUCCAAGACUCACUCGGCACCUCCUGCUUGCAAAGCCGUCCCUGACUGCCCCAGCCCACAGCCUCCCCUUGUUCUGAACUCCUCCAGCACCUGCAUUCGGAGGAACAGCCAUACCACCACAUGUGAUGCUCUAGGUGUUUUGUGAAACUCAAGCCUUCUCUCCCUUGCUCUUAGGUGUAUAGCUCACCUGAGUCUGUGGCUACUGAAAAUUCUAGAAAAUGAUAGCAGUGAGAUAGCUGUUUCCCAGCUCCACUUUUGAGACGGGGUGGAGGUGGGAUGCAAGUUCAGGUUUGUGAGUCCGGGGCCUGGGCUUUUACUUAUUCUGGGGCUCUCCUAGCGCACCGAGAAUUCAGGGCCCCAAAGUGACCAGCUGCUUAUCUAACAUCUGGAUUCCAAAUGACAAGAGGGCGACAUCUUUCGUUCAAUUCCCUAUGUUUACACCAGGCUGGGUAGACUUUAAAGGUCAGCCAGUCUCAAUGGUGAAUAAUUAAAACAUCGGAGUGUCCCUGCCUGCUGAGUCGGCCAGGCCGGGGAGACAUAGGGAAUCCUUCUGACUCGAGAUUCACAGAGACGUUGGGCCGGCCACACCAACGGCAGUUCUCUCUGUCCAACCCUGCCCCCGGAGAGGGAGGCGGUACAGGAGGUCAGGCCACACGGAAGGCUCCUUGUCUUACAAUCGUGUGAUAGGCAGACUUCCCUAAAGCCUGGAUAAGGAUCUCGCAAGUCUGCCCACUUCGUGUUGCUCAUUCCAUCGCUGCCAAACGUCCUCUUUAUUGCUAAUUUACUUUCCCAAGCAUGGUGUUACCUAGAUGGACAAUAGGAGCAUUCUGAGCAUCUGACUAUCUUCUGAUACAAUGUACACGGGCCAUAUGGUUUAUGCAGAACACAUGAAGCUGGCUCCUUCACUGACCAUUUACCCUCCUGCUCAAAGUGCAAUGGCAGCAACAACUUAGGAACAGAGCUCGUGGGUGCUUUGGGUGCCUGUUCGUUGGUCCAGCCGAGCCACAGGGAUGGUCUUGGAGCCCCAGGCAGGGAAGAGGCUCUGCCUUCUGACCAUGGCUGUGCUCCCCUGCGGAGGGCAGCAUGCUUGCCUUUCUCCACCUCUCCCCCAACACAACGGGCAUCACCAGAA